ACUGGUAAUAGUUCAGAAGCACCGCAAUAAUCUCCUCACUGUUGGUGAAACUCAGAGGGAAGAGAAAGCCCUUUAGAUAGAUUGUGCUUUUAUCAUGGAUUUACGGUUUCAUUUCUUUCAUCUACUUGUAUAUUUUAAUGCUUGGUGGUGUUUCAAAUUGCCUAUGAACGUGAUCAUUUUGCUUUACUUUACAAGUCAAUAUAUUUGGUUUAAUUUUCAAACCAGUGGAGAACUACCUAUUUUGGUCCUUGUCAAUUGCAAUAUGUUUGAGAUUCGGAAUGUAUCAAAAGUUUGAGCUUGGCUGGAGGGCAAUCAUUGUGGUUACUCAAUGCAGACUCAAGGUCACGUGCCAAAUCUACAAGGUGUCCUGAUUCAGGUUCAUUCUAUACGUUGGAGGCUAACACAUGUUUGUAGUUUUUGGAAAACUGGUAGAAGUAUCUCUCUGACAAACACAAUAGAGAUUGCAAGUUGAGGGUUUUGUUUCUGGUUAUGAAGCUGGAAGCAAAGCCAUUAAAGAAUACUCCACCCUUUUCUCUCAGCAAAGGUAAAAAAGGGCCAAUAAGAAGCUAGCACCGUUUGAAAAGGACUUAGAAGUGAAAGUCUAAUCAUAUCUUUGGAUUCUAUUUCUGCUGAUGUGAAACUUGAAUUGCCGUCCUUGGCCAUGAUCAUUUCCUCACCCAAAAAAUAAAAAUAAAUAAAUACAAUGACAAAGAUGAUGCUGAAAGAAGAUUUGUUUUAUGAUUAUAAGCUUGGGCAACUUGUGGUAACAUGAAAAUCCCUUUGGUCUGCAAGGCCCAUUUUUGGUGGAACAUGAUAUAUCAACAUCAGAAUUCUAAGAUUUAUUCUCUUAAAAGUUGUACCUCUUUGCUAUCAUUUUCGGCUGCAGACCAGCCACUUGCUCCGAUAAUAAUUAUUCUCCUGUCAUUUCUUCCAUCAUCAUAAGUACAUUAAUGGGCGUUUUGGUUAUUUACAGGUAUAACUACAACUAAAGCUACAAAUUGUUUGUUUCUUUUAUAACUAGAGUUAUAUUGAUUUGGUUACCUUUUGUUUUAAACUAAACAGUCCCUAAUUGUAUGGUUAUGCAAAUUAUUAAACUAAACAGUAUACCGACAACUUGGGUAUAUAUCAGGGAAACUUAUUUUAAUUUCCCCCCCUCGAUUCUCCUAAAUCCCUCCUCCCUCGAUUACGGCGAGAUUUUGGCCCUGGAUUCCAUCCCAGCGAACCGAAGGAGGUUAUGCUGAAAGGCUUCAAGGUAUCGAAUUGAUCUCGUUAUCUUUUGAUUUGUCGGAUUGAAACCCUAGAUUUUGAGCUCAAUUUUAGCGAUUUCGGUUGUGUUUAGGGAUCUGGCUGGUGUUGAUCAGUUUGUUUGAAUUUGAUUCAGAUACUUAGAAUUUUGACUUAGUGUUAGGGUUUUGGAUUGGAAUUUGGUUGUGGAUGAUGAUGAUUGGUUGGGAUUAGGGUUUCUAAUAGGGGGAGCUAGGGUUUACGAAUCCAUGAUCUGAUUAUAUGUCUCUUACUAUUGAAUAUCACAAUUUUAGCAAUUUUGAUGGUGUUUUAGGGAUUUGACUAGGGUUGAUCAGAUGGUUUAAAUUUCAUUCGCGAUCCCUAAAUUUUGCUUUAGUUUUUGGGUUUUGUGUUCAGAUUCGUUUAUCAGGUAUGAAAAAGUUUAUUUGGGGCUUUGAUCAUUGGAUCCAGGGCUCGAUGUUUGAAGAUUCUAUCUUGGAAAUUAGGUAACCCUUGCUCCCUUGUCCUUCCUCCUAUUUUACUUCUCACUUUUUUAUCAUCAUCAAAAGGGAAUGCUUUAUUUUUCCCUUUUCCCUCAUUAUUAGAAGGCAAUGGCAUGUGAUCAAUACACAUGUUGAUCCUUGAUUUAGCCUCCUUAUUAAAAACUACAGAAACAUCUGAUCGCUCACCUACAACGGUCAGAAGCUUGGACAUUUUGCUCCAGCUGGUGAUAAGAUCAAUGUCAUAUUCUGAAAGUUGAUAUCCAGAAUCAAAACAUGCUAAGAUAGAUUUGAAUAACCCCUUAAAACGUAUGGACUCGGGGAUCAUGACACAUAUAACUAGUAAAUUCUUUACGAU